AUUGAACGCUGGCGGCAGGCCUAACACAUGCAAGUCGAGCGAGCGGCGGACGGGUGAGUAAUGUCUGGGAAACUGCGUGAUGGAGGGGGAUAACUACUGGAAACGGUAGCUAAUACCGCAUACCAUCAGAUGUGCCCAGAUGGGAUUAGCUAGUAGGUGGGGUAACGGCUCACCUAGGCGACGCCCCCUAGCUGGUCUGCGAGGAUGACCAGCCACACUGGAACUGAGCAACGGUCCAGACUCCUACUGGAGGCAGCAGUGGGGAAUAUUGCCCAAUGGGCGCAAGCUGGAUGCGGCCAGGCCGCGUGUGUGAAGAAGGCCUUCGGGUUGUAAAGCACUUUCAGCGGGGAGGCGUUACCCGCAGAAGAAGCACCGACUAACUCCGUGCCAGCAGCCGCGUAAUAC
rnacentral:rRNA from 1 species